GACGAACGCUGGCGGCGUGCUUAACACAUGCAAGUCGAGCGGUAAGGCCCUUUCGGGGGUACACGAGCGGCGAACGGGUGAGUAACACGUGGGUGACCUGCCUCUAGCUCUGGGAUAAGCCCGGGAAACUGGGUCUAAUACUGGAUAUGACUCCAUGACGCAUGUUGUGGGGUGGAAAGCCUUGUGCGGCUAGAGAUGGGCCCGCGGCCUAUCAGCUUGUUGGUUGGGGAUGGCCUACCAAGGCGACGACGGGUAGCCGGCCUGAGAGGGCGACCGGCCACACUGGGACUGAGACACGGCCCAGACUCCUACGGGAGGCAGCAGUGGGGAAUCUUGCGCAAUGGGCGAAAGCCUGACGCAGCGACGCCGCGUGAGGGAUGACGGCCU
rnacentral:rRNA from 1 species